CAAUAGAUAGGCCGCGACGGUCCCCUUGCGGCGACGCGAGGGGCUAAGAGGGAAUGCGGUGCGCGUCUCAGGGCGCAAAUCCGCAGCUGUCCCCGCAACUGUGAGCGACGAGCCGGACGCCGAAGGCCACUGGGAAACCCGGGAAGGCGGCGCCGGCAGCGACCCGCGAGCCAGGAGACCUGCCGUCGAACGACAUCAAUC
rnacentral:ncRNA from 2 species